AACGAACGCUGGCGGCAAUGCCUAACACAUGCAAGUCGAACGAGACCUUCGGGUCUAGUGGCGCACGGGUGCGUAACGCGUGGGAAUCUGCCCUUGGGUUCGGAAUAACAGCGAGAAAUUGCUGCUAAUGCUGGAUGAUGACGUAAGUCCAAAGAUUUAUCGCCCAAGGAUGAGCCCGCGUAGGAUUAGCUAGUUGGUGAGGUAAAGGCUCACCAAGGCGACGAUCCCUUAGCUGGUCUGAGAGGAUGAUCAGCCACACUGGGACUGAGACACGGCCCAGACUCCUACGGGAGGCAGCAGUGGGGAAUAUUGGACAAUGGGCGAAAGCCUGAUCCAGCAAUGCCGCGUGAGUGAUGAAGGCCUUAGGGUUGUAAAGCUCUUUUACCCCGGGAUGAUAAUGACAGUACCGGGAGAAUAAGCUCCGGCUAACUCCGUG
rnacentral:rRNA from 1 species